GUGAGCUUUAGUGUGCAGCAGAACAACACUGAGGCUGUUGCUCUCUGCCAUCUGGCUGAACUCCAUGCUGAGCAGGGACUUUAUGCUGUUGUGAGUGACAUCAUGAAACACUUAAAGCAGCAGUUUCCUCCUCAUACCCAACAUGCCAAACUCUGGAUGCUGUGUGAUCUGAAAAUUCAGUUUGAGAAGGCUA